rnacentral:rRNA from 1 species
UACGAAGGGGGCUAGCGUUGCUCGGAAUCACUGGGCGUAAAGCGCACGUAGGCGGCUCUUUAAGUCAGGGGUGAAAUCCUGGAGCUCAACUCCAGAACUGCCUUUGAUACUGAGGGGCUUGAGUCCGGGAGAGGUGAGUGGAACUGCGAGUGUAGAGGUGAAAUUCGUAGAUAUUCGGAGGAACACCAGUGGCGAAGGCGGCUCACUGGUCCGGUACUGACGCUGAGGUGCGAAAGCGUGGGGAGCAAACAGG